UUAGCUUUCACUUUUUUUGGUUAUCAUGGGAGACUAGAAAAUCAAGUGUCAAAAAUGCCCCUAUAUGCUAUUGACCUGAUAAUUUUCAAAGAAGUGUCGAUAACUUGUACCAGCAUACCCCAAUUCCUGAAUUAUAGAUAUUGAUGUCACCUGAAAAAUUAACAGUUAAAAUAUGGGUAAUUGAAAUAAAAAACCUGUUAUAAAACAUUAAUCUCCAUUUAGAGUCCCAAAAAUGGUCUGCAGCCCUAAUUCAUAACACAACUCCUAUAAAUAAUCUUUAUGCGUAGUUAUUGUUAAAUAGAUGAUUGCAAGGCAAUUAGGUCAUUUUUGCCACCGCUCUCCCGUGUCACAUAGACAAACCCCUCAUCCUAGUUCUCAUGGGUUUAACCCCCGGCUCGCAUUUGGAUACUCUCAGAAGUAGAGGAUCGAACAGUUGCUAUGUAAUUUCACAUAUUGGAAUACGACAAAAGGGUCACCUUUAUAGAAAGCUCUCACAUUUCUUGUUAGAAACAUUCACCAGCAAUUCACCUCAGUAUUCAAUGCCUGGAACUUUCUUGAUGCUACUGCCUUCCAGCCUAGUAGGACACAGCAUAUAUGGCUGUCUAAACUAACCAACAUUCUAGCUGAUGCUGCUAAACCAAUGCUUGUUCUCACUGCAAGAUCUUACCAAUUAACUGCUACAAUUGUCAGUUCAUAAGGCAAGGGAUCUACUAAAGGCAACCAAAGAAUGUAAACCUUUCAACAAGUCUCAUUUGAGAAGUUAGUUACAUGAUCUAUAGUCAGAUUCCCACAACUCAGCAAAGGAAUCAUAUAGUCUAUUUAGGUAAAAAUCUUAUUCACUCAUCUUUUGUAUACUACAGUAAAAGUGGUUUGUGAAUUUUCAUGAGACAUGAACUCAGUUCAGUUACAUAUCAUUGAAUGUUUUCUGUU